CCUACGGGAGGCAGCAGUGAGGAAUAUUGGUCAAUGGACGAGAGUCUGAACCAGCCAAGUAGCGUGAAGGAUGACUGCCCUAUGGGUUGUAAACUUCUUUUAUAUGGGAAUAAAACGUUCCACGUGUGGGAUUUUGUAUGUACCAUAUGAAUAAGGAUCGGCUAACUCCGUGCCAGCAGCCGCGGUAAUACGGAGGAUCCGAGCGUUAUCCGGAUUUAUUGGGUUUAAAGGGAGCGUAGGUGGAUUGUUAAGUCAGUUGUGAAAGUUUGCGGCUCAACCGUAAAAUUGCAGUUGAAACUGGCAGUCUUGAGUACAGUAGAGGUGGGCGGAAUUCGUGGUGUAGCGGUGAAAUGCUGAGAUAUCACGAAGAACUCCGAUUGCGAAGGCAGUUCACUGGACUGCAACUGACACUGAGGCUCGAAAGUGUGGGUAUCAAACAGGAUUAGAUACCCGUGUAGUC
rnacentral:rRNA from 1 species